AUGUGCUCCUCAGACCUGUGUUCUCCUGCUGGUCUGGACCAGCAUCAGGACCAGACCAGCAGCGUCACUCUGUCGUCACGGCGACCCACGGCGAGCCCGCUGGUGCCAGAGGGCGGAGUCAGGAGGUUGAGCAGCAUCAGCAGCAUCGAAGAGACUCUGACCAGUCACAACCAGACCUUCACCCUCAGCCCCGCCUCCCCCGCCACAGACACGCCCACAUUCUGUGACAGCGACCCGUCUGACUUCGUGGGGCGGGGAGAAGGUUCCGGAGGAUCCCAGACCCGAAUCCCGACUAGUCGAGGUGAAGACGAUCAGCAGGAGGAGCAGUCUGUCAGUCUUCAGCACUGUCAGCAGAUCGCCAACGAGCUGAGACAGACGGCGAGACGAGCCGUGCACCUGUACCAGCAGCUCGGCCCGUCGGUUGGCGAUCGGUGUCUUCAGAUGUCUUCCGUACUGGAGGGUGCGUUUGAUGUCGUUCACGCCGAGCUCCAGGCGGUGUUGCGGGGGAGUAGAGUCCCGUCCGCUGAGCUGCAGGAGGACGGGACAACGUCCCUUCUGGAGAAAUACUCCGAGCUGCUGGUUCAGAUGACCCAGAACAAGCUGAACCGGCUCUGAUCCGGGACCAACGCUAAGAGAGAGGACAACCCUCACUUUAUCAGUAUUACAUUUAAAGCACCUUUUAGUUAGUUUUUGUGACAUUUCAUCUGUUUUUAAGUGUUUUGAAUCGCAAUCAUUGUACAUAAAUCCUUGUUUUAUAUGUUCCU
ensembl:lncRNA